AUUGAACGCUGGCGGCAGGCCUAACACAUGCAAGUCGAGCGAGCGGCGGACGGGUGAGUAAUGUAUGGGGACUGCCCGAUAGAGGGGGAUAACUACUGGAAACGGUAGCUAAUAACGCAUACUAUCGGAUAACCCAUAUGGGAUUAGCUAGUAGGUGAGGUAAUGGCUCACCUAGGCAACGAUCCGUAGCUGGUUUGAGAGGACGACCAGCCAACCUGGGACUGAAACACGGCCCAGACUCCUACGGAGGCAGCAGUGGGGAAUUUUGGACAAUGGGGGAAACCCGGAUCCAGCCAUCCGGCGUGUAUGAGGAAGGCCUUCGGGUUGUAAAGUACUUUUGGCAGAGAAGCGGUAUCUGCAGAAUAAGCACCGGCUAACUACGUGCCAGCCGCCGCGGUAAUUC
rnacentral:rRNA from 1 species